ACAGUGCAGCGGUGGGCUGAAGGGCUCCUCAAGUGCCGCCAAAGUGGGAGCCCAGGCAGAGGAGGAGCCAAGAGCAAGCGAAGGCUGUGAGGACUGCCAGCACGCUGUCACCUCUCAAUGGGAUGGUUAUCCCUGAACUUCAUGGUACCUGAGGGAAAUGAGAACUUGUGUCUGGUUUCAACCAGUGUUUUUCGGGUUUCUGCUAGCUGCGGCUGAACACAGCCCCUAACUGAUUCAGCAUGUUAACUGCUACUGUUGUCAUUGUUGCUAUUGGUUUUAUUAUCAAGAAAGAGGUGCCCCAGGCCAGGGUUGUUUUGACAAUGUCAGAAACACUUAGAGGACCUGAGAUGUGAAAUGAGUUGUCCACAGGCAUAAUUCAUUUGAAGCUGGAGGAUCUGCAGAAACAGCCCUGCCUGUCCCGGUGCCACAGAUGCCAUCAUAAAAAAUGGAGACAUCAUGGUGGGUCCCCUGAGGCAGCCAUUUUGAUUGACGCGCUUUCUCCUCAGACAGUGCAAGUGUGAAGAGUUUUUUCUCUGCACCUCAGGGUAGACAAUGGACUGGACUGGGAGGCAUGUGGCUCCUCCCUGCUAGAUUUAAAGAGAAGCUGAAGGUUUCUCUAACCGCAUUUCUCCGGUUCUGAUGAAGAGCUCACCAGCAUAGACUAGCUGACAUCACCGGGCUCCUGUGUUGCCUGUCUGGUUAAGAAGUUCUUCCCUCAUCUUCCAAGUUAUAUAGGGAAGGAAUGAAGAUUGAAAGUCAUAAUCUAAUCUGCCAAGCAUAUGUGGGCACCAACUGUGUUUCUAAGGAAUCUACACAAAGGUAUCAGCUCAGAAGCCCCAGAGCAGAAAUGACGUUAGAUUUAUGUAUCUUUCUGUGGAUUGAUUCAACAUGAGAAUGGAUUCAAAAAUACACAUUCCUUCACAGUGCCUGGUUUUAACAUCAUAUCAAGGAAAGGGACACUGAAGAAGGUACCACAAGAAGAUGACCAUCUGCAAACCAGGAAGCAGGCCUUCACUAGACACUGGAUCUUGGACUUCCCAGCCUCCAGAACUGUGAGAAAUAAAUCUCUGUUGUUUAAGCAACUAGCAUAUGGUAAUUUGUUAUGGCAG